CAAUCACGUGUCCUUUACUAUUUCACAAAAUACUAAACUUUACUCUGUUUGUCCAGCUUUCGCCUCCUCUCAUUUUCUCUCCUUCAUUGCUUUGUGCAAUUUUUUGCCAACUUUGCUACUUCAAUAGUCCAAGGUGUAAUGUUUCUUUGGGUGAGGGAAUGGAAGGUUAGUGGACAGAAAAGUAUACAUAUCAAGAUUAGGUGAAGCAAAAGAAUAACACAGAAAAAUUAAGUUCACAUCGAAGGAUGGAGUUAUAAGGUUGUAAAUAAAAUAUGAUGCUGUUAGAAAUGCUCGAGCAAGAGGGGAGAGAAUAGUAGUAAACAGUGCAUCUUGGUUCAAUUUGUUGCAAUGGAGAUCCGGAGGGACUUAAUCGCCUCUUGGGGUGUAUUGCUCAAAUAUUUUAGCUGAUAGGCCCGUAUCUUUUUUUAAAAAAGAAAUAACGGUAGGCCCAUGUGUUAGGAUCAAAUUGGGCCACCAUUGUAAAUUUCAACGGGAAACUUACACAA